rnacentral:tRNA from 1 species
CGCGGAGUGGAGCAGCAUGGUAGCUCGUCGGGCUCAUAACCCGAAGGCCGUAGGUUCAAAUCCUGCCUCCGCAACCA